AUUUUAUGUUGAGGAGAUACUCUGCUUGAUUUAGCCCUGGUGACAACUUUUCUACAUUGUUCAGGCUUGGAUUAGCUUGAAAGCAAGGGAGACUGUAGCUCUUGGGCGAGAGUUACUUGGUGGCAAUGGAAUCUUGACGGACUUCCAUGUUGCAAAGGCAUUCUGUGACUUGGAGCCGACUUACACAGGCGAAGGCACUUAUGACAUCAACACAUUGGUUACAGGCAGGGAAAUCACCGGGAUUUCCAGUUUCAAGGUAGCCGCAUUGACCCAGCAGAGUCGCCUAUAAUGUUGUAGAAUACUUUUCUUUUAGCUGAUACAUAAAUAUUUUGAAAAGAUGGUUAAAAGUUUGUCUUUUGACUUUUUGACUUUUUUAUGUGAAAGAAGAAGUGGAUUAAAAGUUGGUUAGUGACUUUUAACCCACUUUCCAAAAUAAGCUAUAAUAAAAUGUCUUGCUUCUUGCUAGGGGCGGAGCUACAUAAAUCAAAUAAAGAAACAGUUAGUUUGAUUA